GAUGAACGCUGGCGGCGUGCCUAAUACAUGCAAGUCGAGCGAACGGACGAGAAGCUUGCUUUUCUGAUGUUAGCGGCGGACGGGUGAGUAACACGUGGAUCACCUACCUAUAAGUCUGGGAUAACUUCGGGAAACCGGAGCUAAUACCGGAUAAUAUUUUGAACCGCAUGGUUCAAAAGUGAAUGACGGUCUUGCUGUCACUUCUAGCUGGAUCCGCGCUGCAUUAGCUAGUUGGUAAGGUAACGGCUUACCAAGGCAACGAUGCAUAGCCGACCUGAGAGGGUGAUCGGCCACACUGGAACUGAGACACGGUCCAGACUCCUACGGGAGGCAGCAGUAGGGAAUCUUCCGCAAUGGGCGAAAGCCUGACGGAGCAACGCCGCGUGAGUGAUGAAGGUCUUCGGAUCGUAAAACUCUGUUAUUAGGGAAGAACAGAUGUGUAAGUAACUGUGCACAUCUUGACGGUACCUAAUCAGAAAGCCACGGCUAACUACGUG
rnacentral:rRNA from 1 species